CGGGCCCGUGGUUAGCUCUGCCGGUCGGGCGCUCCCCGCUGGAGCGGCGGCGGCUGCGGGCGGUGCGCAUGCGCCCUAGAGGCUACGCGAAGGCCGGGCCUCACGGCCCGCGGUGUUUGAAGCGGGGUGAGGGCCGCGGAUCGCGCGGAGUGGGAUUCCCCGAGGGGGCUCCGGGGUGUUGGGCCAUAUGUGUGGUACCGGUGAAAUACAGUAUGUGGACUUGCCCUGAGAGUGCUGCUGCUGAAGACCUGUUUGCAAAUUUACAGUCAUUACAGAAUCAGCUGAGGAGAACAGAAAAGCACCUACAAACUGUAGAGGAAGAGCUUUCCAGCACUAAUAUAAGUGAACAUUAUGGCCGCUGCUUCGAUGAGGCUAUAGACUUCACCCUGGAACACCUUGUUCAGCCUAAUUGCAACUCUCAAGGCUUUUCUAACUGUGAGAAGAAUGCUGGUAAAACAUCUUGCCAGGAUUCUCAAAGAAAAUCUCAAUCUUACUCAGUAUCCACAACUUCUGAUAAAACUGCGGAAGAAAAUGGACGUCUUCAGGAGAAGGUGGAUGCCCUUCAUGAGCAAAAUGCAUCUUUGAUUUCUCAGAACUACUACCUCAAGAGCAGAGUGGAAACAAUGAACUUUGAAUUGAUGCAGUCAAAAACGAGAAUUUCUUACCUUGAAUCUACUUUAGGUACGCAUUUAGUCUGUAUUCCUAAGUUGAAAGAACAGAUUGUAAACUUGGAGGCAGAAGUUUCAGCUCAAGAUAAAAUUGUGAGAGAUACAGAAGAUAAACUAGAUCAAAGCCGGAAAACAGAAAUGGAAAGAGAAAACAUGUUGCAAAGAUAUAAAAAGGACUAUAAAAAUCUGAAAACAGAGUUAAUUGAAAGAAGCAAGCAAGGAAAGAGAGCAGAACAGCAAAGAGAUGAAGCUUUGUUGAACGUGGAGGACCUGACAAGAGCUUUCAAAAAGUAUAAAGAGAAAAUAACUGAAAAAUUAGAAAAGGUGAAAGCUGAAGUAGUAGUCUUGGGAAAAUGCUUAAUUAAUUGUGAAAAAGAAAAAAAGAAGUUGAAUCAAGAAUGUGUCAGCUACAGAAAGGAUCUAGACAUCCUAGAAGAGCAAUUAAGGCAAUUAAAGGAAGAGAAUCAUUGCACAAAAGGAGAAAUUAAGGCUCUAGAGGCAAAGAAUACUGAAAUGUUAUCAAGGCUGACUCAGUCUGAUCAGAAGAUCAUUGAGCUUGAGAGUGAACUUUGUGAAAAAGAAAUAAUGCUUAAAGAGAAAAAUGCUCUAAUAAGUGAAAAUGCAGAGCUGAGAGCACUUACUGUACAGCAACAUAACAGCUUGAAAUUAUGCCAUCAAAAAAUUGAAGACUCAAGGGAAGAGCUUAACAUACUAGAAACCAUUAUUUCCCAGUUGUCUCCAAGUACAUCUGAAGAGUUUAAAUGGCACCACUUGAAACACCAGAUAUCCAGUUCCUCAACAAAAGAAGCUCUCCGUGAAUCUUGUUGUGAAUUGAAUAAACCUUUGAUUGCAGACCUAAGCAUUAAACUGGGAAUGAAAGAAGCAGAAAUUAACAAACCUCAUGCAAACUUAACUAUCUGUAUUGGAGCUGAGCAUCUUUCUAAUAACAGUGAACAAGAAAAUAGCAGGUUACAUGGCCUGGAAACAGAGCCUGUCAAAUUGAUCAGAAGUCACGGAGAGAGGGAAAAAUGUCAACAGCUAGAACUUAUCAGCAAACAAUUUGAAAAGGAGAGGCAAAGAUUCCAGAAACAGAUAGAAGAGUUACACACUAAACUGACAGAAGCAGAUGAUGAGAAUUCUUCUUUGAAGACCAGCAUGGCUCAGAGAGCCAGUCAGUUCCAAAUCAUACAGGAAGACCUAUUGAAGAAGGUUUCAAAAACUACUGGUUUAAAGAGAGAAAUAACAAAGAAAUCUUCUCAACUUUCUGCACUUGAGAAACAGUUGGAAGAAAAGACUAUUGCUUAUUCUGCUGCUGCAGCAAGAAACACUGAGUUGGAACAGGAACUCAUGGGGAAAAACAGACGCAUUCAUGAGUUGGAAACAACUAACAGUGAAGAACAUAAGCAGAUAAUUUCUGCGUUUGAAAAAUCAAAGUUGGUUCACCUUGAGCAGCACAAAGAGAUGGAGAAACAGAUUGAACUACUUCAGACACAACUGGAGAAGAAACAGCAACAAUUAAUCAAACAAGAGAAAAUCAUAUCUAUUUUGCAACAAGAUGUUAUACAUAAACAGCACCACAUUGAAUCAUUGGAUGGGCUGCUGAUAGAAAGCAGAGAGGAAAUGGAAAAUGAAAAUGUCAAGAAAGAUCAAGGAUUGAAGAUGCUGAAAAGUCAGUUAACAGAAGAAACAUUCAAAGUGAGACAACUUGAGUCAGCACUAGAUGUAUGUAAGGAAGAAGUUGCACUAUAUUUGAGUCAAUCACAAGAAAAUAAGGAGAUAUUUGAAAAUCAGCUUAAAAAAAGGUCUGAAGAGGUUCGUUACUUACAGAAAGAAAUAAAAGUAAAAGAUCAGAAUAUUCAGGACACAAGUGAACAAAAUAUUCUCCUACAACAAACUUUGCAUCAUCAUCAGCAAAUGUUACAGCAAGAAACUAUUAGAAAUGGGGAGCUGGAAGAUAAUCAAAAUCAACUUGAGAAACAGGUAUCAAAUUUGGAACAAGAGCUUCAGAAGCGGAAAGCAUAUGCAGAAGAUGAAUUGAGAAAAGUAGAGGAGAAACUUUGCCUCACUGCUCAGGAAGCAGAUUUAAACAGACAGAAGGUGGAUGAACUUAAUAGUACAAUCAGCCAAAUGAAAUUGGAGAUGGAUCAAUACAAGAAUGAACUUACUGGUAUGGAAAAAGAAGUAGUGCAAUUAAAACAAGAUGAUGAAAGCAAAGCAAUGCGGAUAAGUCGGUUGGAUAUUACUUUGGAAGAAGUACGAUCAGAGCUCAUUGAAAAGUCAAAUAAGGUGUAUGAUUUAGAAGAUAAGCUGCUUCAGAGUGAGACCUACCACAGGGAAGCCUUACAGAAAAUAGUAGAAUUAGAAUCUUCAUUACAGAAUGCCCAUGGAGAAUUAAAACUCACUUUAACACAGCUUCAAGAAUUGCAAGAUGCAUUAGAGAAUGCACAGUCUUCUCUGGAGGAGAAGCACGUUGUUAUCAUGGAUCUAACAACUGAGCUCAGGUACUGCAAGGGUGAAAUUGAAGACAAAAACCAAGAACUCCUUGACAUGAACCAAGCACUGAAAGAAAGGAAUUGGGAACUGAAACAAAGAGCAGCUCAGAUUACACAGUUGGAUAUGACAGUUCGUGAACACAGGGGAGAAAUGGAACAACAAAUAAUUCGAUUGGAGUGCAAUUUAGAGAAGUCAGAGUUAGAAAUUAACGAAUACAAUAAACAGAUUGAGAGUUUAGAGAAGAAACUCCAGCAUUCUAAAGAUGAGCUUCGUGAAAAAGAGUUUGAAUUACUCCAGAGAGAUCAAGAAAUAAAUCAGUUGAAGAAAAAAAUUGAAAGAAAAUAACGCAGCCUAGAGCUCUUGAAAAGGACUUUGGGAAUGAUUCUGAAGGAAAGGAUUUAUUAGCUAGCCCCUGUGCAAAUGCCAACUGGACCCUUCCUUUUCAGAAAAAUUGCCUUGUUAUUACUUCUGCUAAGGAAUACCAGGGGCAGGAGCUGUGAAGAGUGGCAUGUUGACCAUUGGACAAGCAGCAACCCAGGAAUGCUGUUGCUGGCAUCAUAUUCGUGCAUGCAAAGACAAAAUUUUACCCUUGUAUUUGUAAAUAAGGAAUGUGGUUAUUUGUACUGACACAAAUUACAACCUUUUUAUUUUUCCAACUGUUUUUGAGAUUAUUGCCUUGAUAUAAAAACAUCUUGAUAUAUUUUUGAGAAAUAAAUCCCAUUUUUUAAGUAUCUUGAGUUACAGGAAUUACUGCUGUUAUUUUUUUUCCAAGGAUUUGAAACAGUUUACUUGUGUUUCACAUCUAACUUAACAAUUUUUGUUUGGGAAUACUUUAUUUCCUUUUUUUUUGCUACAUGUACAGUGUUGCAGACACAAUGUCUUACUAAAAUCGACCUGUUUAUAAGAUGUUUUUGGACACUGAUUUGAUCAUAGACACUGGGAAAACCUGCUUGCUUUAUUUGAAGCAGUGUCUUUCAGAUGCAAAGGGGUGUGGGACAGGGCCAUAAAGCUUAAUUGUUUUUUCCUCCAAACCAAAAUGCACACAAAAAUUACCAUUGAUUAAAAUGGCAUCAUAAUUAUGCCUUCUAAAACAUACUUAUUUGCAAUUUUCAAAAAUAUUAAGCAAUUUAGCUAGUACAAAUGACUAGUGGCAUCAGUUUCUAACACUUCUGUAUUUACAUAAGUGUCGGAAGCUGCCAAUAUGGUUAUGAGGCCUAAAUCUUAGUCUGAUGAAUGCAAAAAUGAUUUAUGUGCAUUAAGACGUGUGAUUAGUGCUUCAGAAAAUUAAGUAAAAUGAUUUGAUAUAAAGUAGAGAAACAGAAUUGAAUGUAUUGCGAUUUAAAGGGUAGGUCUAAGUUAAUUGUUUUGUGUAUUAAAAGUGUAUCUUGGCCAGGAAAUGUGUUUGCUGUGUUUCAGCCACUCUGCAGGUGGAAGUGCUAAACAACUUGGGUUGUAGGUCUUUCACUGUUUAUGCAAACAUGUUAUAGAAAUGCAACCGUUGUACUUUAAGUGGUUAUACAAAACCAGGCAUACAUUUUUCUACUAUUGUCAAGGUCAAGAUACAGUCAUCUAAAGUACUUCUGCACGUUCAGAUUCUUUAUUUUGUUAUUAUCAAAAUAAUGAUGUGGCAAAAAAAUACCGUUUACUUAUGGAAAUAAAUGUAUUGUGUGUGUUAAAUCAAGCUAUUUGUUUUCUACAUAACAGUAAAUGAAAAACAUUGUAUUUAGAUUGACCAGUGUAAUAAUUGAAAAAUAUUAAACUACUUUAAUUUUUUUUUUCCUCUCCUUAGGCAGAUCAGUUUGCCUUCAGGAUAGAAAUCUGUGCAUCAGAUUUCAGACAGAAUCUUUUAAAGCCAAGGUCCUUCAAACAAGGAUUUCAAGUGGAAAAUCUAACCAAUCUGUAAUUACAGUUGCAUCACAACACUAGUGGAAUUCCACUGAUGUAGUGUUGCAUAAAGCCUCGCUUGCUCCUCCUACAUGCACUAAAUAUAAAUGUGCAUGAGCAGCAAAAGCAAUUUGCCUAGUUUCUGAAUCAGCUAAAUAGCAUUUGCACUAAAACUGUGUAUCUGGAUACUAAGUUCUCUAGUAAAACUGUGGGUCAAACUUGCUAAAUAGGUAGAAUCAUAAUUAUGUUUUCUCUAACUUUAGAUGCUGUCUUGCUAUUUUGUUGCUUGCCACAGAAGUUAAUGAUUCCACUUGCUAUACUGUUCAAGUGAAUUUAUUUGUUUUGGAAAGGAGGGACGUAUUUUUUCCCUAACAAUCUCAGUUAAAUGUUUUUGUAGAGUCAUACUUGUCUUGAGUUACUAACCAAUUUAUAUCUAUGCAAAUCCUGAAACAGUGAGUCCAUUCUUCUGACCUGCAUUGCAUUAACAUGGGCUUAUUGAAUCUUGGAAAACAUUUUUCUGUGUAUAACGACAUUGCAAUUAGCUGAAUGCUGGUAAGAAGGUUAAUUGCUUAUUAAGGUGAUUCUUUUUCUGUCACUCAGGAUGGGUUAUAAAUUUCACAGGAGACUGAUUUCCUUUCUAUAUGUAGUAUGCCUACAGUUACUGUAUGUUAAACAUGAAUUGCAUCAAAUUGCUGGUCUAAA